GAUGAACGCUGGCGGCGUGCCUAAUACAUGCAAGUCGAGCGAACAGACGAGGAGCUUGCUCCUCUGACUUUAGCGGCGGACGGGUGAGUAACACGUUGAUAACCUACCUAUAAGACUGGGAUAACUUCGGGAAACCGGAGCUAAUACCGGAUAAUAUAUUGAACCGCAUUGUUCAAUAGUGAAAGACGGUUUUGCUGUCACUUAUAGAUGGAUCCGCGCCGCAUUAGCUAGUUGGUAAGGUAACGGCUUACCAAGGCAACGAUGCGUAGCCGACCUGAGAGGGUGAUCGGCCACACUGGAACUUAGACACGGUCCAGACUCCUACGGGAGGCAGCAGUAGGGAAUCUUCCGCAAUGGACGAAAGCCUGACGGAGCAACGCCGCGUGAGUGAUGAAGGUCUUCGGAUCGUAAAACUCUGUUAUUAGGGAAGAACAAAUGUGUAAGUAACUAUGCACGUCUUGACGGUACCUAAUCAGAAAGCCACGGCUAACUACGUG
rnacentral:rRNA from 1 species